rnacentral:rRNA from 1 species
UACGGAGGGGGCAAGCGUUGUUCGGAAUUACUGGGCGUAAAGGGCGCGCAGGCGGCUGCUCAAGUCAGACGUGAAAUCCCUCGGCUUAACCGGGGAACUGCGUCUGAUACUGGAUGGCUUGAGAUUGGGAGAGGGAUGCGGAAUUCCAGGUGUAGCGGUGAAAUGCGUAGAUAUCUGGAGGAACACCGGUGGCGAAGGCGGCAUCCUGGACCAACACUGACGCUGAGGAGCGAAAGCCAGGGGAGCAAACGGG